AGUCGAGCGAACAGACGAGGAGCUUGCUCCUCUGACGUUAGCGGCGGACGGGUGAGUAACACGUGGAUAACCUACCUAUAAGACUGGGAUAACUUCGGGAAACCGGAGCUAAUACCGGAUAAUAUAUUGAACCGCAUGGUUCAAUAGUGAAAGACGGUUUUGCUGUCACUUAUAGAUGGAUCCGCGCCGCAUUAGCUAGUUGGUAAGGUAACGGCUUACCAAGGCGACGAUGCGUAGCCGACCUGAGAGGGUGAUCGGCCACACUGGAACUGAGACACGGUCCAGACUCCUACGGGAGGCAGCAGUAGGGAAUCUUCCGCAAUGGGCGAAAGCCUGACGGAGCAACGCCGCGUGAGUGAUGAAGGUCUUCGGAUCGUAAAACUCUGUUAUUAGGGAAGAACAAAUGUGUAAGUAACUAUGCACGUCUUGACGGUACCUAAUCAGAAAGCCACGGCUAUCUACGUGCCAGCAGCCGCGGUAAUACGUAGGUGGCAAGCGUUAUCCGGAAUUAUUGGGCGUAAAGCGCGCGUAGGCGGUUUUUUAAGUCUGAUGUGAGAGCCCACGGCUCAACCGUGGAGGGUCAUUGGAAACUGGAAAACUUGAGUGCAGAAGAGGAAAGUGGAAUUCCAUGUGUAGCGGUGAAAUGCGCAGAGAUAUGGAGGAACACCAGUGGCGAAGGCGACUUUCUGGUCUGUAACUGACGCUGAUGUGCGAAAGCGU
rnacentral:rRNA from 1 species